GCAAGUCGGAGGGGUAGCGAGGGUAGCAAUACCCGCUGACGACCGGCGCACGGGGUGAAGUAACACGUAUCCAACCCUUCCAAUAACUCGAGGGAUACGUACCUUUCGAAAGAAAGAUUAAUACCUGAUAGUUACUUUUUUCAAGGCAUCUUGAGAAGUUAAAGAUUUUAUUGGUUAUGGAUGGGGGAUGCGUUCCAUUAGAUAGUUGGUGAGGUAACGGCUCGCCAAGUCUUCGAUGGAUAGGGGUUCUGAGAGGAAGGUCCCCCACAUUGGUACUGAGACACGGACCAAACUCCUACGGGAGGCAGCAGUGAGGAAUAUUGGUCAAUGGGCGAGAGCCUGAACCAGCCAAGUAGCGUGAAGGAUGAAGGUCCUAUGGAUUGUAAACUUCUUUUAUAGUAGAAUAAAGUGAUCCACGUGUGGAUUUUUGUAUGUAUACUAUGAAUAAGGAUCGGCUAACUCCGUGCCAGCCGCCGC
rnacentral:rRNA from 1 species